CCUACGGGAGGCAGCAGUGGGGGAUAUUGCACAAUGGGGGAAACCCUGAUGCAGCAACGCCGCGUGGGUGAAGAAGCGCCUCGGCGCGUAAAGCCCUGUCAGCAGGGAAGAAAAUGACGGUACCUGAAGAAGAAGCCCCGGCUAACUACGUGCCAGCAGCCGCGGUAAUACGUAGGGGGCAAGCGUUAUCCGGAUUUACUGGGUGUAAAGGGGGCGCAGACGGCGAUGCAAGCCAGGAGUGAAAGCCCGGGGCCCAACCCCGGGACUGCUCUUGGAACUGCGUGGCUAGAGUGCAGGAGGGGCAGGCGGAAUUCCUGGUGGAGCGGUGAAAUGCGUAGAUAUCAGGAGGAACACCGGUGGCGAAGGCGGCCUGCUGGACUGCAACUGACGUUGAGGCCCGAAAGCGUGGGGAGCAAACAGGAUUAGAUACCCCAGUAGUC
rnacentral:rRNA from 1 species